GGUAUAUUCUGUGGUGUCCUGAUCCUAAAUCUCCAAAUUUGUUAUAAGUAGAAAUGUUACUUGUGAUAAUCUCUUAAGCUGAUCCUUUUAGAGGAUGUCUAUUCCCUUUUGAGACAUAUAAGGUAGAUAGUUUAUCAAGCCCCAGGGGUUAACUCAAUUGACAAAGCUUGAGGGACCUGUAUAUAAGGUUACAGGUUCAAGCCCUGCGCCAGGCGGAUUAACUUUGGUAUUUAAGUGGAGAAAGGUAGAGGGACGGGCCCACCAUCCCUGAGUUUUGAAGGUUGCAGUUGGCCCAAAGGGUCAGCUCCAGACGAACUUCUCGGUCGUAAAUUAGAUGGUUUAUCAAAGAAAGUGGAGCUUGGAGUUUACAAUCCACAACUUUUACGAAGAGCAAAAGGUACUGUCAGUCUAAGUUGCGCGGACUCUUUACUUUCGAUGCCGCACCCGUGUCGG